rnacentral:rRNA from 1 species
UACGGAGGGGGCUAGCGUUAUUCGGAAUUACUGGGCGUAAAGCGCACGUAGGCGGAUUGGAAAGUCAGAGGUGAAAUCCCAGAGCUCAACUUUGGAACUGCCUUUGAAACUCCCAGUCUUGAGGUCGAGAGAGGUGAGUGGAAUUCCGAGUGUAGAGGUGAAAUUCGUAGAUAUUCGGAGGAACACCAGUGGCGAAGGCGGCUCACUGGCUCGAUACUGACGCUGAGGCGCGAAAGCCAGGGUAGUGAACGGG